rnacentral:rRNA from 1 species
ACGGGUGAGUAAUACAUCGGAACGUGCCCAGUAGUGUGGGAUAGCCCGGCGAAAGCCGGAUUAAUACCGCAUACGACCUACGGGUGAAAGGGGGGGAUCGCAAGACCUCUCGCUAUUGGAGCGGCCGAUGUCAGAUUAGGUAGUUGGUGGGGUAAAGGCCUACCAAGCCGACGAUCUGUAGCUGGUCUGAGAGGACGAUCAGCCACACUGGGACUGAGACACGGCCCAGACUCCUACGGGAGGCAGCAGUGGGGAAUUUUGGACAAUGGGGGAAACCCUGAUCCAGCCAUGCCGCGUGCGGGAAGAAGGCCUUCGGGUUGUAAACCGCUUUUGUCAGGGAAGAAACGCUCUGAGUUAAUACCUCGGGGUAAUGACGGUACCUGAAGAAUAAGCACCGGCUAACUACGUGCCAGCAGCCGCGGUAAUACGUAGGGUGCAAGCGUUAAUCGGAAUUACUGGGCGUAAAGCGUGCGCAGGUGGUUGUGCAAGACAGAUGUGAAAUCCCCGGGCUUAACCUGGGGACUGCAUUUGUGACUGCACGGCUAGAGUGCGGCAGAGGGGGAUGGAAUUCCGCGUGUAGCAGUGAAAU